CUAUUGAAAGCACUUUUGUGAAACAAUAUUUCAGUAUUUCUUUCAGUCCUUGAUUCAUUUGACAAACAUUUACAGAGCUCCCAUUCUGGGUGCCGGGUUGGUGCUAGGAAUAAAAAUAGACGAGACAAGCAAGUAGAGAAAGACAGAACGUGCGUUAACCACGCCAGCUAGUUUAUGCUUGGUGGUUGGUGACCCAUGCAGUCGUUUGCCCAGCAAAUAUUUAUUGUGGAACUACUAUGAGCCAGGCAGCACACCGAGGACACAGCAGCAAUAAAGAAACACCCGUCCCAGGCCUGCAGAGCUUGCUUUCUAAGGGGUAUGGACAGGAAGAGCCACAGGAACUACACAGAAAGAAGGAGCCACAGAAGCCGACGGUGUGGGAGGUGGAGUCGAGGGGAGCAGAGGCGCCUGAGAGCAGAGAAUAAGCUGCUCCACAUUCUGGCUGAAUUCCAAAACUUCCUGAGAGAGAACCCUGCCAAAACAGCACACGAGCCUCCUCAGUCCAAAGCAUGGUCCCACAUCAUAUUUUCAGGAGCCAGCCAGGCAACAAGAAGCUAAGAUGUGUGGACAGUCCCGAGCAGUCUGUACCCUGUGCCGGCACCUCCUCCUGGGACGGGCGUGGGACUGGACGAACAAACACGCACUGUGUGCCCGGAGACUGUCUGACAUAGGGUGAGCGCUUUACAAGUGUUUGCUGAUGUUCUUUUCCCCCUUUCCACCUUGGCUACGUGGCCUUUCCCCUUCUCAAGGGCAUGCCAAGUUCUUUCUGC